rnacentral:rRNA from 1 species
AUUGAACGCUGGCGGCAGGCUUAACACAUGCAAGUCGAGCGAGCGGCGGACGGGUGAGUAAUGUCUGGGAAACUGCCUGAUGGAGGGGGAUAACUACUGGAAACGGUAGCUAAUACCGCAUACCCUCAGAUGUGCCCAGAUGGGAUUAGCUCGUAGGGGGUGUAAUGGCUCACCUAGGAGACGAUCCCUAGCUGGUCUGAGAGGAUGACCGGCCACACGGGAACUGAGACACGGUCCAGACUACUACGAGAGGCAGCAGUGGGGAAUAUUGCACAAUGGGCGCAAGCCUGAUGCAGCCAUGCCGCGUGUGUGAAGAAGGCCUUCGGGUUGUAAAGCACUUUCAGCGAGGAGGCGUUACUCGCAGAAGAAGCACCGGCUAACUCCGUGCCAGCAGCCGCGGUAAUUC